GAUGAACGCUGGCGGCGUGCCUAAUACAUGCAAGUCGAGCGAACAGACGAGGAGGUUGCCCCUCUGACGUUAGCGGGGGAAGGGUGAGGAAAACGGGGAAAACCUACCUAUAAGACUGGGAAAACUUCGGGAAACCGGAGCCAAUACCGGAAAAAAUAUUAGACCGCAAGGACCAAAAGUGAAAGACGGCUUUGCCGUCACCUAUAGAUGGAUCCGCGCCGCAUUAGCUAGUUGGUAAGGUAAAGGCUUACCAAGGCAACGAUGCGUAGCCGACUUGAGAGGCUGAUCGGCCACACUGGAACUGAGACACGGUCCAGACUCCUACGGGAGGCUGCAGUAGGGAAUCUUCCGCAAUGGGCGAAAGCUUGACGGAGCAACGCCGCGUGUGUGAUGAAGGUCUUCGGGUCGUAAAGCUCUGUUAUUUGGGAAGAACAGCUAUGUAAGUAACUAUUCUCGUUUUGACGGUACCUUAUCAGAAAGCCACGGCUAACUACGUG
rnacentral:rRNA from 1 species